rnacentral:rRNA from 1 species
AUUGAACGCUGGCGGCAGGCCUAACACAUGCAAGUCGAACGAGUGGCGGACGGGUGAGUAAUGUCUGGGAAACUGCCUGAUGGAGGGGGAUAACUACUGGAAACGGUAUCUAAUACCGCAUACCAUCGGAUGUGCCCAGAUGGGAUUAGCUAGUAGGUGGGGUAAAGGCUCACCUAGUCGACGAUCCAUAGCUGGUCUGAGAGGAUGACAAGCCACACUGGAACUGAGACACGGGCAAGACUCCUACGGGAGGCAGCAGUGGGGAAUAUUGCAAAAUGGGCGAAAGCCUGAUACAGCCAUGCCGGGUGUAUGAAGAAGGCCUUCGGGUUGUAAAGUACGUUCAGCGGGGAGGCGUUACCCGCAGAAGAAGCACCGGCUAACUCCGUGCCAGCAGCCGCGGUAAUAC